AGGUUAACCGUAUAGGGGAGCCGUAGAGAAAUCGAGUCUUAAUAGGGCGUUUAGUUGCUGGGUAUAGACCCGAAACCAGGCGAUCUAUCCAUGAGCAGGUUGAAGGUUGGGUAACACUAACUGGAGGACCGAACCCACUGUCGUUGAAAAGCCAGGGGAUGACUUGUGGAUAGGGGUGAAAGGCUAAUCAAGCCUGGUGAUAGCUGGUUCUCCCCGAAAGCUAUUUAGGUAGCGCCUCGGACGAAUACCAUAGGGGGUAGAGCACUGUUUCGGCUAGGGGGCCAUCCCGGCUUACCAAACCGAUGCAAACUCCGAAUACCUAUGAGUACUAUCCGGGAGACAGACUGCGGGUGCUAACGUCCGUAGUCAAGAGGAAAACAAUCCAGACCGCCAGCUAAGGCCCCAAAAUCAUAGUUAAGUGGGAAACGAUGUGGGAAGGCAUAGACAGCUAGGAGGUUGGCUUAGAAGCAGCCACCCUUUAAAGAAAGCGUAAUAGCUCACUAGUCGAGUCGGCCUGCGCGGAAGAUGUAACGGGGCUAAAACUAUGUGCCGAAGCUGCGGAUUUGACAUUAGUCAAGUGGUAGGGGAGCGUUCUGUAAGCCGAUGAAGGUGUAUUGAGAAGUAUGCUGGAGGUAUCAGAAGUGCGAAUGCUGACGUGAGUAACGACAAAACGGGUGAAAAACCCGUUCGCCGAAAGACCAAGGGUUCCAGUCCAACGUUAAUCGGGGCUGGGUGAGUCGACCCCUAAGGCGAGGCCGAAAGGCGUAGUCGAUGGGAAAAUGGUUAAUAUUCCAUUACUUCUGUGUAAUGCGAUGAGAGGACGGAGAAGGCUAAAUCAGCCUGGCGUUGGUUGUCCAGGUGAAAGGAUGUAGGCAUGUAUCUUAGGCAAAUCCGGGGUACUCUAUGCUGAGAUCUGAUAGCAAGCUGUACUUGUACAGCGAAGUGGUUGAUGCCAUGCUUCCAGGAAAAGUCUCUAAGCUUCAGUUACACAGGAAUCGUACCCGAAACCGACACAGGUGGUCAGGUCGAGUAGACCAAGGCGCUUGAGAGAACUCUGCUGAAGGAACUAGGCAAAAUGGUACCGUAACUUCGGGAGAAGGUACGCUGUUGUUGGUGAUGGAACUCGCUUCCUGAGCUGACGACAGCCGCAGAAACCAGGCCGCUGCAACUGUUUAUUAAAAACAUAGCACUCUGCAAACACGAAAGUGGACGUAUAGGGUGUGAUGCCUGCCCGGUGCUGGAAGGUUAAUUGAUGGGGUUAGCGUAAGCGAAGCUCUUGAUCGAAGCCCCAGUAAACGGCGGCCGUAACUAUAACGGUCCUAAGGUAGCGAAAUUCCUUGUCGGGUAAGUUCCGACCUGCACGAAUGGCAUAAUGAUGGCGGCGCUGUCUCCAGCAGAGGCUCAGUGAAAUCGAAAUCGCUGUGAAGAUGCAGUGUACCCGCGGCUAGACGGAAAGACCCCGUGAACCUUUACUGCAGCUUGACACUGAACUUUGACCUUACUUGUGUAGGAUAGGUGGGAGGCUUUGAAGCUGGAACGCUAGUUCCAGUGGAGCCGUCCUUGAAAUACCACCCUGGUAAUGUUGAGGUUCUAACUCUGUCCCGUGAUCCGGGACGAGGACCGUGUCUGGUGGGUAGUUUGACUGGGGCGGUCUCCUCCUAAAGAGUAACGGAGGAGUACGAAGGUGCGCUCAGCGUGGUCGGAAAUCACGCGUAGAGUAUAAAGGCAAAAGCGCGCUUAACUGCGAGACCCACAAGUCGAGCAGGUACGAAAGUAGGUCUUAGUGAUCCGGUGGUUCUGUAUGGAAGGGCCAUCGCUCAACGGAUAAAAGGUACUCUGGGGAUAACAGGCUGAUACCGCCCAAGAGUUCAUAUCGACGGCGGUGUUUGGCACCUCGAUGUCGGCUCAUCUCAUCCUGGGGCUGAAGCAGGUCCCAAGGGUAUGGCUGUUCGCCAUUUAAAGAGGUACGCGAGCUGGGUUUAGAACGUCGUGAGACAGUUCGGUCCCUAUCUACCGUGGGCGCUGGAAAUUUGAGAGGAUCUGCUCCUAGUACGAGAGGACCAGAGUGGACGAACCUCUGGUGUACCGGUUGUGACGCCAGUCGCAUCGCCGGGUAGCUAUGUUCGGAAGGGAUAACCGCUGAAAGCAUCUAAGCGGGAAGCCUACCUCAAGAUAAGAUUUCCCUAGGACUUUAUGUCCUCUAAAGAGCCGUUCGAGACUAGGACGUUGAUAGGUUGGAUGUGGAAGCAUAGUGAUAUGUGAAGCUGACCAAUACUAAUUGCUCGUGAGGCUUGACUAUACAACACCCAAGCAGUUG
rnacentral:rRNA from 1 species